AUAAAUAGUGGAACAAAAGGACAACUUCCUAGAAGCUCGCAGAACACUGCACACAUAGAGCAAGCAGAAGCAGGCUUCAUACCCUCAGAGUGCACACAGAGAGCAAGCAGCAGCAGGCUUCAUACCCUCAGAGUGCACACAGAGAGCAGCAGCAAGCUUCCUAUCAUGAGUGCACACAGAGCAAGCAGCAGGCGUCCUAUCCCCAGUGUACACAGAGUGCAAGCAGCAGCAGGCGUCCUAUACUCAGAGUGUACACAGAGAGCAAGCAGCAGGCUUCCUAUCUUCAGAGUGUACACAGGACAAAUGGGCUUCUCCGCUUUGUGAUCAAUCACUGUCUACACAAGGGCUUCUCUUUCUUCCUAUCCAUUGUCAGAACCGGGUUCAACGUUGAAAUUUCCAAAAUCACCUCAUCUACCUCUUUCAAUAUGUUCCACGAAGAUUCUGCAUCAAACCUAAACGUUGGCGACCAGUGUCCAAUGCAAUUGGAUUAGCUGUACUUGCCCUAUUCUUCGUGGAUUUCCCAAGUCACAAAAAAGUGGCAAGUCGUGUGGGACAUGCAUUAUGGGAUUUACAAAGAUAUUUCUGCCACAUGGUGGUUAA